AUACGUAGGGGGCGAGCGUUGUCCGGAAUUACUGGGCGUAAAGGGUGCGCAGGCGGCGCUUUAAGUCAGAUGUGAAAUACCCAGGCUUAACCUGGGGGGUGCAUUUGAAACUGGAGCACUUGAGUGCAGGAGAGGAAAGUGGAAUUCCUAGUGUAGCGGUGAAAUGCGUAGAUAUUAGGAGGAACACCAGUGGCGAAGGCGACUUUCUGGACUGUAACUGACGCUGAGGCACGAAAGCGUGGGGAGCAAACAGGAUUAGAUACCCUGGUAGUCCACGCCGUAAACGAUGGAUACUAGGUGUAGGGGGCGAUAGCCUUCUGUGCCGCAGCAAACGCAAUAAGUAUCCCGCCUGGGGAGUACGAUCGCAAGGUUGAA
rnacentral:rRNA from 1 species